rnacentral:rRNA from 1 species
UACGUAGGCAGCGAGCGUUGUUCGGAGUUACUGGGCGUAAAGGGUGCGCAGGCGGUGGAGCAAGUCUGUUGUGAAAUCUCCCGGCUUAACCGGGAGGGUGCGGCGGAAACUGUUCUGCUGGAGUGAGGGAGAGGCAAGCGGAAUUCCUGGUGUAGCGGUGAAAUGCGUAGAUAUCAGGAGGAACACCCGUGGUGCAGACGGCUUGCUGGACCUCCACUGACGCUGAGGCGCGAAGGCGUGGGGAGCGAACGGG